AACGAACGCUGGCGGCAGGCUUAACACAUGCAAGUCGAACGCCCCGCAAGGGGAGUGGCGCACGGGUGAGUAACGCGUGGGAAUAUGCCCUUCGGUUCGGGAUAACACAGGGAAACUUGUGCUAAUACCGGAUACGAUCUACGGAUGAAAGAUUUAUCGCCGAGGGAGUAGCCCGCGUAGGAUUAGCUAGUUGGUGAGGUAAUGGCUCACCAAGGCGACGAUCCUUAGCUGGUCUGAGAGGAUGAUCAGCCACACUGGGACUGAGACACGGCCCAGACUCCUACGGGAGGCAGCAGUGGGGAAUAUUGGACAAUGGGCGAAAGCCUGAUCCAGCCAUGCCGCGUGAGUGAUGAAGGCCUUAGGGUUGUAAAGCUCUUCGCCAGGGAAGAUAAUGACGGUACCUGGAAAGAAGCCUCGGCUAACUCCGUGCCAGCAGCCGCGGUAAU
rnacentral:rRNA from 1 species